rnacentral:snoRNA from 1 species
AGUCCAUGAUGAGGGACUUCCUUAAUAGAUCCUUAUAACGCUCCCAUGACUCAUAUAGAGAUUCUCCAUCUUGUUGAAAGAAAGUAGUGAUGUCAUUUCUCAUCUU